ACGAUGAAGCCCAGCUUGCUGGGUGGAUUAGUGGCGAACGGGUGAGUAACACGUGAGUAACCUGCCCUUAACUCUGGGAUAAGCCUGGGAAACUGGGUCUAAUACCGGAUAGGAGCGUCCACCGCAUGGUGGGUGUUGGAAAGAUUUAUCGGUUUUGGAUGGACUCGCGGCCUAUCAGCUUGUUGGUGAGGUAAUGGCUCACCAAGGCGACGACGGGUAGCCGGCCUGAGAGGGUGACCGGCCACACUGGGACUGAGACACGGCCCAGACUCCUACGGGAGGCAGCAGUGGGGAAUAUUGCACAAUGGGCGCAAGCCUGAUGCAGCGACGCCGCGUGAGGGAUGACGGCCUUCGGGUUGUAAACCUCUUUCAGUAGGGAAGAAGCGAAAGUGACGGUACCUGCAGAAGAAGCACCGGCUAACUACGUGCCAGCAGCCGCGGUAAUACGUAGGGUGCGAGCGUUAUCCGGAAUUAUUGGGCGUAA
rnacentral:rRNA from 1 species